ensembl:misc_RNA Gm56036 predicted gene, 28032
GUCACUCGGUGUUCUCACCGAAAGCACGUAAUCGCCGGUGUAACUCAUGUUGGCUGGGGGGCCUCCCGGCGCGGUGAGGCCGGGGUGCGCCCGC